rnacentral:RNase_P_RNA from 3 species
CGAGUCGGCUGGGCGGCCGCGUCGGGAUCUUCGGAUCCCGCCGAGGAACGUCCGGGCUCCACAGGGCAGGGUGGUGGGUAACGCCCACCCGGGGUGACCCGCGGGACAGUGCCACAGAAAACAGACCGCCGGGGGCUUCGGUCCUCGGUAAGGGUGAAACGGUGGUGUAAGAGACCACCAGCGCCUGAGGUGACUCAGGCGGCUAGGUAAACCCCACCCGGAGCAAGGUCAAGAGGGGUUGUCCGUUUUCGGACGGCCAACCCUGCGCGAACGUUCGAGGGCUGCCCGCCCGAGUUCGCGGGUAGACCGCACGAGGCCGGUGGCAACACCGGUCCUAGAUGGAUGGCCGUCUCCCCGGCGACCGCGAGGUCUCCGGGCGACAGAACCCGGCGUACAGGCCGGCUCGUCUG